rnacentral:rRNA from 1 species
UACGUAGGGGGCUAGCGUUGUCCGGAUUUAUUGGGCGUAAAGAGCGUGUAGGCGGCUUGGCAAGUCUGCUGUGAAAACUCGAGGCUCAACCUCGAGCUGUCGGUGGAAACUGCCUGGCUAGAGUCCGGAAGAGGAGAGUGGAAUUCCUGGUGUAGCGGUGAAAUGCGCAGAUAUCAGGAAGAACACCUAUGGCGAAGGCAGCUCUCUGGGACGGUACUGACGCUGAGACGCGAAAGCGUGGGGAGCGAACCGG